rnacentral:lncRNA from 1 species
GUUCUGAAAACUGAAUAGUUCCCCUUCCAUUUAGUUGCUGAUUGCAUUACCUGCUAAUUCCUACCAACAAAGAAGUGUAUUUUAACCCAACUGGAAUUUCUAUUAUUACAUUUUACAUCCAUCCCCUUAUGUUGGUGGCUAAAUAUAGCAUUCAUUUUAUAGAGCUGUACAUCCUGACAACUAGGAAGAUAAGAAACUAUUUUAUUGGGAGGCCUCGGUGGCUCAGCAGGGCCUCAGAUAAAGCUAGAAGUGACUGAGAAGGCACGAAAGCAGAGCAUACCUUUGGAUGGACUCAUGAAUGAGAGGAAGAGGAGGAAAAGAAGUUGGAAAUAACGUUAUUAUUCAGUUCCAUGAACUGGGCUUCUUGGAAUCCAAUGCUGGAAAAGACCUUAAAAAUAAUCAAGUCCCACUUCAUAGUGAGAAGACGGAGGUUCAGGAUUACACAAUGAGUGGCAGAGCCACUUAG